rnacentral:ncRNA from 1 species
GGCUAGGGACGACCCUAAACACGCCUUGUUAUUAGCCGGGACGACCCGC